GCUUCACCUGUGCCAUAUGGAGAUGCCCAGACUAGCAGUCAAAUUGAAACUAUAGCUGCUGGCCUACUCCACAGCCACAGCAAUGUCAGAUCAGAACCGCAUCUGCGACCUUUACCACAGCUCAUGGCAAUGUCGGAUACUUAACCCACAAGCAAAGCCAGGGAUCAAACCUGCAUCCUCAUGGAUACUGGUCAGAUUUGUUUUCCACUAAGCCACAACAGGAACUCCUAAUACCAGGCAAAUUUUCAAUUAAAAUAAAAAUAUAACAAAUUACUGAAUAGUAACCUUACAUGUGGCAGCCAACCAAAAUGAUUCUUUCAACAUCUUUAAUACCCUAACAAAGGAAGCCAAAGGUGGUAUUUUUCCUCUAUUAUUUCGUAUUAUGUUUUACUGAGAUGUUCCAAGGAUACUUUAUACCUCAAGACUGCGGCUGGCAAAUUUUUCUAAAGUUACUUAUUGCUAGAGAUAUACAAAUGGUGACCUUACACAUUUUUCUACUGUUAGGCAAAUAACAAUUCUAAGCAAUGCAUUAUAAGUUCAAAUAAUUCCUUCAUGAACUCAUCUUUGUACAACUAUUUAUUGUCACUAUUAUAUAUUGAUGACUACAUUUUAUAUAAAGUUUCUAAGUUGGGCACAAAUUGUUUUCAAAUGAGUUCAUGUACAACAACUAUGAAAAGGAAAAUAUAAACUGGACAGUGAAAUGGACAGUGGGAAGUGUAAGAGUUUAUGAAACGUUACAUCAUUAAUUCUCAGUCUAAGAUCCCCAGCCCAAGAGAGUUAUACAAAUGCAAAAGGAAUCCAUUAUAAUAAGGCUGAAGAGUAAAACUAAAACAUAACUUUGUACCAGUGUCUUAUUAAUUCAGUGAAAUAACAAGACAGGUUAUCAAAUAGUUAUCCAAACCUGUAGUUGCUAGCUUUGAGUCUUUGGUUUAUUUUUAAAAGGGGGAAGGAGGGAAUAAUUACUUAAUUAGUGUUGAUUACUAGGUAAGGUCUUCUUUCAAAACUUAGAACCCACUGGAGAGAAUAUGGUCAGAAGCAGAGUAAAUGGAUUCUUAAAUUACAAAAAGGUUAGAGUAGGUAUCUUCUUGGUAUUCCCUAAGAGCCAACAUGUAUUGAGCAUUUAUUCUGUGUUAUGUACUAAGCAAAGUACUUUACAUAAAUUAGCUCCUUUAUUCUUCACAAAAUUCCAUAAGGCAGGUAAGACAGAUCUUAUUUUUUCAGAUGAGAAAACUGAGGCUAAAUGAAGCUAAAUAACUUGUCCAAGGUCCCAUAGCUCAUAAUAUUAUCUGAAAUCUUAGUAUAAAACCUGUGUUUUUAACCAAUAUACUUAUCCUCAACCUAUUUAAAAAACAAAACAUAUACCUAUUUGAUACUCUAAAUACACUCCAAUUUUUACACUGAUUCAUAUUCAUUAAAUACAUCUGGAGUUUGAUAUGAAAUAUAAAACUUCAAAUAAAGGUUUUGAAACAAUGUCACAUACUUUAAAAUCUUAGUGGCAUAAAGUAAUUGGUUAAUGUUAACAAAAUGGUAGGACUACAUUUUUGAAGACAAAUACUUAACCUAUUUUAACAAGACUAGUAUUUUAAAAUAUUGUUAUUCUCUACUAAUGUAUUAGAUUCUUUGAGGCAUUCCAACACAUGAUAUACUAUGUCUUAUAAGGGUACUUUUUAAAAAUAUCAUAUUUUACUGAUUGUAGUUAAAUAUGGAUAAUAGUACACAUAAAUCCAUUAUCUGGAGAAAAAAGUUCAUUUGAUAUAACUGUAUCUUUUUAAGCUUAUUUGAGGAAGAUACUACCACUGCUUCAGUAUCUGCCUUUUAGAGCAUACAUGCACUGCUGAUGAUGGGAAGUCAAUGAUCAAAGAAGAGACCAAAAGACUGAAUUCUCCUAAAAAAAUAAAAAAACUCUCACUGAACAAAUAUUCAGAUACAGAAAGCAAUAUAUGAUCACUUCUAGUUUCAAAGCAUUAAGGCAAAGAAUAAAGAUUCUAAAACUUUAAAUAAUAAAGCCAAGUUAAAUACUCAAACCAGACUAUUCAAAUGGUGUGAAGCGGGGACUGAAUUCCCCAGACAAUUUGUAUUAUUGUUGUUGUUGACUUAAUUAAUCUAAUAACUAUUAUUAUCAUUUAUACUUUGGAGAUGGCUGUUUUAGAUUACACCAUAAAAAUUGUAUCACUAAUUAUGCCACACAGAAAUGUUAUAAGGAUAUACAAUAUAUUGAUAUGCAGAACAAUAUCAAAUUUGCAGAGUACAAAGCCUUAUGGCCAAAAUAUUAUGAUUCUAAGUUAAACUAAAUUUUUUAGAUAUGGAUUAAAAUACCUGCAUAAGAAGAUGAUAAAUGUAUAUGCCUACAGAACGAAUGAUGAUACUCAGAUUAUGCCAAAGAUAUCAAUCUUGAUAUUGUUUCAUGCUGUGCUAAUAUAUAUUAGCAGAGAUAGACUUUGAUAUAAAACUGCCAAUUAAGACAGUAUAUUAAAUUUAAACUCCACAGACAUUAAAGUCAUUAUAUGCUUGAAUGCAUAUGUAAUUAAAUAUUUUUCUUUAAAUAAAUUUCUAAUCAGUUCACAUUCUUAGUGAUAAUAAUCUCAUGUUGCAAACAGCACAGCACCCUCUGGUGCAUUUGUUGUAACACGUAUAAAAUUCCCACCAAAAAAAGGAUAGAAUCAGAGUAAAAAUGAACCUUAGAAAUCAAUAGAUUAACACUCUUUUAUUUACUCCAAUACACAUUUUUAAACAUUAAUACUUAAAAACAAUUUUCACUUUCAAAGAGCACUAAAAACCUUAUAGUAACAAUUGAAGUAGGUCAGGAAAAUGUUUUCAUUUGAAAAUAUUUAAAAUAAUGAGCCAAAAAAACAACACCAGUUCCUAGCUUUUAUCAUUCAAAUUAAAAUAAUACUCACCCCCCCAAAAAAAAUCACAUAUAGGAUUGCAAAAGUUAACCUGUCAUGUUAACCAAAUUUCACUUUAUUCGAAUCUGCCUUGGCUUUGUGCUUCAGAUAAAUUUGACUAAUAGUGUAAAAUGUUCCUGAGUACCUUUUCUGGAUUCAAAGAGAAUUUACUAUUAAUUUUAAGAAUUUGAGGUGUUUUUUGAAAAAAUCUGCAACUAUACUGCUCAAAAAUGGAAUGAUAUUCAAAAAUAAAAGGUAUAUUAAAUCAGGAAUCUUAAUUUGAAUAGUUCAAAACCUUUACUUAAAAAAAAAAAAAACUCUUCCUAAGAAAAUAAUUGACACCAAAAGUAUAUUUUGCUAAGGACUAAAGCAAUGGAUGCCACCUGGCUUACACAGCCUUUUUGUGAACCACUGGAAGACCCAACACAAUGCACUAGAGAUGAAAGUGACACCUGUUUAAAGCAGCCAUCUGUCCUUAACAAAAUUAGAUUUAGUCAAAUCCACUUUAUCAUGGAUUUCCAAAAUAUGGGAACACUAUGCACCUGUGAACAGAAAGGAAUUUAAAAUCUGUUUUGCAACAGCCACUGGGAAUCUACACCAAAGAGGUAAAGGCCAGUGAUUCCAUUAGGGAAACUAAGUUUUUAUUAUUAAAGUAACUAUUAAGUAGAGGAUUUCUAACCUAAUGCUCAGCAUAAAAACAAAACAAGCGGGGAAAAAAAAACAAAAACCAGCAGACUUCUCAUAUUUCAAAGUUUGCAUUGAAGAUUCUUUAUAGUUUAAAAGUUUACUUGUCUGAUAUUCUCAUUUUUUGUAACACAGUCUCACUAGAGAUACCAAGAACAAAGUAACAUUCCUAUCACACUGUUUAGAAAAGUUCUGUUGUUGUUGUUUUUUUAACUCUUGCUAUAUCCUGAUGCUAUAUCCACCCUUUUAACCCCCACAGACACUGUAAAAUCUGAGGCAUGGAAUCAUACUCCACCUACGGAUUUCUUCAGUUGACUGUAUAUAGGGGAAAGCACACACAUCAUCAACUUUCUAAAGACUAAUGACAUGUUACCAAAAUACUUGUAAUCAUUUAAAUAAUAGAUUAAAUUUAUCUUGAUUUACAAUUUAUUCUUUAAUUACUAAUUUUUUAAUGGUAAAAUUUUUUACCAUUAAAUUUGUUUCAGGUAAAAAAAAAACUGUUGAGGGUUAAAUCAUAUUAAAUUUAUAAACUAUAAAGUCUUUUGAGUAUCUGAAACUUAAAAACUAUAAACCUUUCAUUUGAGCACCUAAUUAGAGUACAAAACUAUUUGAAUACUAGAGGAAUAAUAUAUUAUUUUUAAAAUUAGGCAUAAACAUUGCCAUGUAAUAAAAACAUUGUGGAAUGAUGCAUUUUAGGAAUGCAUUUUAGUUUAUUCCUAUACAUGUAAAUGUACUACACAACUAUGCCUAUCCAUUUAAUGCAAUUCAUAGGCACAAAAACUAAAGAGAUUGAGAUAGGCAUUAAAACAUACAAUGAAUCACAGAUAUUCAACUAUUCAAAACAAAUUACAAGCGACUCCUACUUAAUAGUUGUCAUUGUAAAGCUUGGCCACUUUCCACAGAUUUAUAUUAGUCUUUUAGAAACAAGCACAAGGAAAUACCAAUACAUAAUAUAGUCCCUUCUAGGAAAAAAAAUCACAGAAAAAAUAAACUUGGUGCUA
rnacentral:lncRNA from 1 species